UCUCUUUCUCCUUUCCUCUCCCUCGUGCGCUCCUUUCCUCGCUGCUGCCACUCCAUCCUAUCCACCUCCUCUCCUCGUCGAACCAGCCGCCUCUUCCCCACCUUCACGCGCAGCCUCCUCUCCCUCAAGCCCCGCCUCCUUCCCACCUGGGCUUUGCCUCUUCGGGCGGUGGGACGCAGUGGCUGUGGUGAUGGCAGAUGGGGCGACAGCGGCGGCGCUGCUCCUCUCCCAUGGUCGAGGAUGGCGGUGAGGGGCAAAGGGGCGCUGUCGUUCUCCCCCCUCAGCGUGUGCUCAGAGACGGACGAGGAGGCCGAGCAGUCGGUCAUGCCGUCAACGCCGUCCUCGCCUGCCAAGGUCUGGAUCCUCCUCCCCCUUCCCUCAUGGCGGUGCCUGGAUCCUCCUCCCUCUUCCCUUCCAUGGCGGCACCCGGACCUGCCGCAUCUUCCUCAUCGUCAGUCCGAGGGAGAGGAGUGGCAGCAGCCAGACGCGCCUCGUCCAUGUCGCGUGGUGGCCCAGAUGCGUCCGCCCCGUGCUCUGCGGUGCCCGUCUCGCCCAUCUAUGGUCGGAGAAGGAGGGGAGGACUGGAUGCCAGCCGAUCUGGAGGAAGAAGAGGAGACCCAGACGAAAUCGACGGCUCGAGCGAUGCUUGAUGACAUCCCUGGAUAGGCUUCGUGGUGGAGGACACGACCUCCGCUGCUAGGUGCACGAUGAGGCACUCGAGGGGUAGGGUUGCUUGCAGCGCGGGUGCCCGUUGUCUGUCCUAGCGGGGCACCUGAUGCAGCUGCAGCAGGCCGCAAGUUUGGCUGAUUUCAACACUCAAGGUUUUGUACAUCAGCCUACUGAAAACAUUCAGUUAUUGACAAAUCACGACAUUACAAUCUGACAAAUCAUGCAUGCAAAAUCUGACCAAGUGUAAAAGCUUGUCAAAGCUCUCAUUCCUUGUUAUGUUAUAAACUGAAUGCCAAGAUAGAUUUCUCAAUGUACAAAUUGUUUGCACUUUCUGAGCACUGAAAUCUGUAUAUUUUAGAUAAAGUAGCAUUUGUCAAUAGAAGUCAUGGUUGGAUCAACAUAUGUUUCCACUAAAAUCCUUUUUUAAUGCAAGUUUACAGCUACUCGGAGUUCCUAAUUGCAGACUCGACUAUCUUGACCUACCGAUGAUCUAAUUUGUGGCAUUAUUACCUUAAGAAAAUAUUUGCAUUUAAUUUACUUUAUAUAUAGGGGUAUAAUUAAGUUCUUACCAAAUGUACUCAAAUAUACAGUUACUGAAAAAAUGCAAAUAUUUUCAACACGAACAUGGUUUUAAACGGGUCUUUGCGUCAUUUGGCGCAACUGGUCAUCUAGUACUAUUAUUAUUGAUAUUUUCAAGCAAAAUAUAUAACUUUUGGCUACCAUUAUUUUCUGCAUGAUGAUUCAAGAUACCUUUUACAUAGGACACCAUGGAUAUUGGAGAAAGCAAUAAUAAUGCCAAGGGAAGCACUAGAGUUAGGACAUCAGGACCUAGGGCACCAAAGAUACAUUGGCCUCAAGCUUUAUCAGAGUUCGAACUUGAUUGGUACAUUGAGAAGAAGAUGGAGCUGAUCGGUGUUUAAGAAGUUGCAUCACACUGCAUGUACAAAAGCAGUAAAUGAGAAGUAUGGCAGUACCUACGGUGUUGAUCAAGUUCAUCGUCACUUUAGACGUCAUAAAGAGACUUGGGCACUUGUAGCUCGCCAUAUGAAUGCUAGUGGUAAGGCCAACUCCACCGUGCGACGUCUGUUUUGUUCGGAUUCUGUCCGUUUGGGCAGGGGGAUGGAGUCGUGUCCGGGCCUGUCCUGGGAUGCGGUGGCCGUGCGCCCAGCGCGCGGCCGCAUCCUUUACCC
rnacentral:rRNA from 1 species